UGGGGAAUAUUGCGCAAUGGGCGAAAGCCUGACGCAGCGACGCCGCGUGAGGGAUGAAGGUUUUCGGAUCGUAAACCUCUGUCAGAAGGGAAGAAACCGCACUGUGCUAAUCAGCAGUGCCUUGACGGUACCUUCAAAGGAAGCACCGGCUAACUCCGUGCCAGCAGCCGCGGUAAUACGGAGGGUGCAAGCGUUAAUCGGAAUUACUGGGCGUAAAGCGCACGUAGGCUGCUUUGUAAGUCAGGGGUGAAAUCCCACGGCUCAACCGUGGAACUGCCUUUGUUACUGCUUAGCUUGAAUCCGGGAGAGGGUGGCGGAAUUCCAGGUGUAGGAGUGAAAUCCGUAGAUAUCUGGAGGAACAUCAGUGGCGAAGGCGGCCACCUGGACCGGUAUUGACGCUGAGGUGCGAAAGCGUGGGGAGCAAACAGG
rnacentral:rRNA from 1 species